AGAGCGAACGCUGGCGGCAGGCCUAACACAUGCAAGUCGAGCGCCCGUAGCAAUACGGGAGCGGCAGACGGGAUAGUAACACGUGGGAACGCGCCCUUCGGUUCGGAAUAACUCAGGGAAACUUGAGCUAAUACCGGAUACGCCCUUACGGGGAAAGAUUUAUUGCCGAAGGAACGGCCCGCGUCCGAUUAGCUAGUUGGUGAGGUAAUGGCUCACCAAGGCGACGAUCGGUAGCUGGUCUGAGAGGACGAUCAGCCACACUGGGACUGAGACACGGCCCAGACUCCUACGGGAGGCAGCAGUGGGGAAUCUUGCGCAAUGCGCGAAAGCGUGACGCAGCAACGCCGCGUGGGGGAAGACGGCCUUCGGGUUGUAAACCCCUUUCAGUUGGGACGAAGCUCCGCCGGUGAAUAGCCGGCUGGAGUGACGGUACCUUCAGAAGAGCCCGGCUAACUACGCGCCAGCAGCCGC
rnacentral:rRNA from 1 species